UGAAACAAGUUGUUCCCCAACUAUUGGUUUUCAUAUUUUUACCUAAAAUGUAAUUUUAACAAAAUCCAUGGAUUGUAUCAUGAAGUAGUUAAACUUAAUAUUUUUCUAACUAUUCAAUUGAAAUGUGAAACAAAAUGUGUGAAAGAUCCAUUGCUUCUCGUCCAAGCCUAGAACAAGUAGUUGCCAUAGUUGAUUUUAUGGAAAAGCACAAAUCUCUAGCCCUCGGAAAGUUACGAGGUUUAGAAGGGCGAGACGAAAGUAAGAAGCUCUGGUUCAAACUAACAAGGAUUGUGAAUAAUAUAUCAGGACCUACACGACCUAUGAAAUCUUGGAUCAAAUACUGGGCGGACAAAAAGUCUACAGUUAGAUCAAAAGUAGUUUCUAGUGGCAGUGAUCCCAAUAUACUUUGUUCUAAUAUAGAAAAGAAAAUAUGGGAUUUAUUUUUAGCCUCUAAAGAAAAGAGUAGUAAUCGCAGCCGUAAUAAUUCAGUGAAGUUGGAGCCACAGUUCACAGAAGAGCCGUUCCUCAAUGAUGAUGAUAUGGAUGAAGAUCAUGACAAUGAGCCAGUUCUGAAUUUUGAAGAGCCAGCACUGGACUUCGAGGAACGCCAAAUGGUUGUUAUGGAGAAGCUGGUAAAAGUGAUGUCCGAGCAAGCAACAGCAAUGUCGCAGCUGGCGCAGGCGUCGCAGGUCAACGCUCAGGCCAUGGAGAGGUUGGCAGAUGCGUCACAGAUACAAGCUCGAGCAGUAGAGCGUCUAGCGACAACGUUCGAGUCAAUAGGAGCGGCGACCCACGACGUGCGAAACGCGCUGCUCGACAUAGACUCCACAUUGAAACGGUUCUACACCACGUCGCCCACUUAGCAUACAUACGUGUAUUUAAUGACAAAUUAAUGAACGAAUGAUUGAACGUCCUAUACGAAUUGAUCUUGGUUUGUCUGCGGAUCUCCUAAUUUCUGAUUC
rnacentral:misc_RNA from 1 species